CUGGCGGCCUGCCUAACACAUGCAAGUCGCACGAGAAACACAUCCUUCGGGGUGUGGAGUAAAGUGGCGCACGGGUGAGUAACACGUGGGUAACCUGCCCUUGGAACCGGGAUAACUGGCCGAAAGGCCCGCUAAUACCGGAUAAGACCACAUGAGCUUCGGCUUAUGCGGCCAAAGUCGGCCUCUCGAAGAAGCUGGCGUCUGAGGAUGGGCCCGCGGACCAUUAGCUAGUUGGUGGAGUAACGGUUCACCAAGGCUGAGAUGGUUAGCUGGUCUGAGAGGAUGAUCAGCCACACUGGAACUGAGAUACGGUCCAGACUCCUACGGGAGGCAGCAGUGAGGA
rnacentral:rRNA from 1 species